rnacentral:rRNA from 1 species
UACGUAGGGGGCUAGCGUUGUCCGGAUUUACUGGGCGUAAAGGGUGAGUAGGCGGUUAUGUAUGUCAGAUGUAAAAGGCGCGGGCUUAACUUGCGUUAGCAUUUGAAACUGCAUAACUUGAGUGCAGGAGAGGUAAGCGGAAUUCCUAGUGUAGCGGUGAAAUGCGUAGAUAUUAGGAGGAACACCGGUGGCGAAGGCGGCUUACUGGACUGUAACUGACGCUGAGUCACGAAAGCGUGGGUAGCAAACAGGAUUAGAUACCCUGGUAGUCCACGCUGUAAACGAUGAGUGCUAGGUGUUGGGUAGCGAUACUCAGUGCCGGAGUAAACACAAUAAGCACUCCGCCUGGGGAGUACGGUCGCAAGACUGAA